CUGGGCUUCGACGUGGACGCGGUGGAGAGCGAGUGGGGCCAGGGCGCCGACCUGGCCACGCUGGAGCGUAGGCUCCGCGACGACGCGCCGCGGCACGCCAUCAAGGCCGUGGCCAUCGUGUUGGAACUCUCAAGGCUCACACACGCAAGAAACGAAACACACUGAAGGUAGAAGAAGAACAGAACACACUAGCAAAUGGCGCAGAAACACCUUGACAGCGCACUCACGCGGUGUACUUUCUCUAUUUUUUCACCGCAAUCUGAGCAGUACAGGGUGCCUUUUAUAGGCUGAGCAACACACAACGGAGCCACAAAUUCCACUCGCACGAUCCGUCCGGCCAGGUCACGCGCACGACGCGCUCCAACGCGCACAACGCGGACGUCCUGGCAACGGCCUGUGCUGACUGCUUCACCCGCGACGUACGCGGUAAGCUGACAGACUCCUCACCUAUCCUCCACAUGCAAGCACGCACGCACCACUCAGCUAGCUAGUGACCAGCACCAUGCGCUCACACCCACGGAGCUAGCAGUUGCACUGCAUGCACACACAUGCACAACUGCCACGACUCCACACACGCGCCAGGAUUAUUCUAACAAUCUCCCCCUAAUCCUAGCGCCGCGUCCCGCACUCACAGGAGCAUCGCUUCUUCAUCGGCCUUGGCUAGCAGUGCCUCCUCCUCCUUCUUACGGCAGUCCCGCGCGAAGUGGCCGCGGUUACCACAGUUGAAGCACUUGCCAAUCGUCGACUUCUUCUUUUUUCGAGCUUUCCACUCGGCCUCCGUGAGGAGGAGCUGGUCGUCGCGCCGUUCGCCGCCAGCACGAGUGCGCCGCUGGAACGCUCAUCGAACGCCUUCAGUCUGCCGAGCGCCUCCUCGAACGCCAUCAUCUCGACGUCGCAAAAACUGCUCGAUGCCCACGACGGCGGGGAAGAGCCGAUCCAGGACGGUGUCGAGGAGCUUUUUCACCAUGGCAGCGUCGUCGAGCGUCGCGCCAAGCCCGGCGUAACGCGCCGCCAUAUCGCUGAUUUUGCCGGCGUAGUCGUCCAAUGCCUCCCCGUCCUCCAUGUAUAGCUUGUCGAACUCCCCCUUGAGCGUGGCGAGGCGUGUCGUCUUGACCCGAUCCACCCCGACGAAACGAGUCUUGAGGCUCGCCCACACCUCCGCCGCCGUUUUCUUGGUGGAGACCUGCAUCAAGAUGUCAUCGGGCAGAGCUUGGAGAAGUUGUGCCCGCGCCGUCUUGUUCUUCAUCGCGUUCACCUCGCCACCAUCUGGUGGAGACACGGCCUCCCAGAGACCUUGCGCGUCGAGGAUCGACUCCACCUUGAUCGCCCACGCCGUGUAGCUUGCCGGCGACAGCACCGGGUAUGACAUGGAGACCGAACUCCCCCCGGCGCCAUGCGGAACCAUCGCCAUAGCUUCGGACUCGAGGUAGUAGCGCAGGAUCUUGGGCAUAAAAUGGUUCCAGUACCAAUUGUUGGAACUCUCAAGGCUCACACACGCAAGAAAUGAAAAACACGGAAGGUAGAAGAAGAACAGAACACACUAGCAAAUGGCGCAGAAACACCUUGACAGCGCACUCACGCUGUGUACUUUCUCUAUUUUUUUCACCGCAAUCUGAGCAGUACAGGGUGCCUUUUAUAGGCUGAGCAACACACAACGGAGCCACAAAUUCCACUCGCACGAUCCGUCCGGCCAGGUCACGCGCACGACGCGCUCCAACGCGCACAACGCGGACGUCCUGACAACGGCCUGUGCUGACGGCUUCACCCGCGACGUACGCGGCAAGCUGACAGACUCCUCACCUAUCCUCCACAUGCAAGCACACACACACCACUCAGCUAGCUAGUGACCAGCACCAUGCGCUCACACCCACGGAGCUAGCAGUUGCACUGCAUGCACACACAUGCACAACUGCCACGACUCCACACACGCGCCAGGAUUAUUCUAAC
rnacentral:lncRNA from 1 species